GCAAAUAUCAAUCACAAUUCUGUGACCAUCAUACACUAUGUGAUUUUCUAUGGAAUCAGUCGACUCAAAUCUACAGACUGGCU